CAUGCACCGGUGGGGUCCCUCAGCCUGGCCUGUGCCCUCUUGCAAUCCAGGACCCCUCGGGGGAUGUUGGAGAACCAGUUUUGGCCUGAUCCCCGCAGGCCAGGCUGAGGGACCCCACUGGUGCACA
rfam:Myotis lucifugus cont2.31657, whole genome shotgun sequence.